UCCUCCUGCACCAGACUUGUCCUCCUGCACCAGACUUGUCCUCCUGCACCAGACUUGUCCUCCUGCACCAGACUUGUCCUCCUGCACCAGACUUGUCCUCCUGCACUGCCAGAAUUCAUAUGCUUGUCCCAAAGAUUAAGCCAUGCAUGCCAAGAGUCCCGUGGCCGGCCGGGCUUCCGCCCGGACCGGCCCAUGAAUCAGCGAACGGCUCCGUAUAUCUGUUGUAACCUGUCGCGGUAAGUACGGUGUGGAUAUAGCACGGAAAAGCUGUGUGUAAAACAGCAAAAAUGGGCCCAGCUUGCAGGGGCAGCUACCCUGGGCGCUUGCGGGUGGGGGGCUCCGGCCACAAAGCUUAACCCCCCUCCCCGGCCUUUAACUCCUCAAGUAGCACGGAGACCCGUCCGCAGUUUGGCUGGCCCAACUGGUCCGGCGGUUUGGUGCGAAACGGGGGCCUCUACGCUGUGACUGAGCCGCGGAACCCGUCUCCUCAUGGGGGGGCGGCGAAAGGGGUGAGGGCACUAUGAUAGAGACCAACCACGAGCGCGCGAUGGGCUUCAGACCUAUCAGCUAGACGGUAGGGUAUUGGCCUACCGUGGCUACGACGGGUACAGAGGAUUAGGGUUUGAUCCUGGAGAGGUAGCCUGAGAAAUCGCUCCCACUUCUAAGGAAGGCAGCAGGCGCGUAACGUUCCCAAUGCUCUACCGAGUGAGGACGUGACGGGACAUAAUACAUGCCCCUUCAAGAGUGAUGUGGGUAGCCCUCAAUGGGGCGGGCUUAAACC
rnacentral:rRNA from 1 species